AUAUAUUCUUAAACACAUACACAUAUAAUAUAUAUAUAUAUAUAUAUAUAUAUAUAGUAUGUAUGUGUAUGUGUGUAUGUGUGUAU